rnacentral:misc_RNA from 1 species
GUGAGUCAUCGAAUCUUUGAACGCACAUUGCGCCCGCCAGUAUUCUGGCGGGCAUGCCUGUUCGAGCGUCAUUUCAACCAUCAAGCCCCAGGCUUGUGUUGGGGGCCUGCAGCUGCUGCAGCCCCCUAAAAGCAGUGGCGGGCUCGCUGUCAUUCCGAGCGCAGUAGUUACAUCUCGCUCUGGGCGUGGCGGUGGGCACCUGCCGUUAAACACUCUUUCUAAGGUUGACCUCGGAUCAGGUAGGAAUACCCGCUGAACUUAAGCAUAUCAAUAAGCGGAGGA